UGCGGGGGGCUGAGUAAAUAAGCGGAAGAUUGUAGCUCUUUUUACGGAGGAAGUCCUUCCCCCGCAA
rnacentral:tRNA from 1 species